GAUUGGUCAGAAGGUAGUGAGUUAUCUCAAUUGAUUCUUCACAGCCAGUUACAGAUUAAGUUCCUCAUUCUACUCUUUCCCCACUUCUUACUGCUGCACUUGACUUAUCUUGA
ensembl:misc_RNA Y_RNA Y RNA